CAGGCCUAACACAUGCAAGUCGAGCGAGGCUACUACCCGAUACGGCCAACGGGUGCGUAAUACAUGGAAAUCUGCCCUCCAGUGGGGGAUAACUACCACAAAUGGUAGCUAAUUCCGGCUAAUCCACAUUGGGAAAGAGCGCCCCCCUCUAGAAUGAGUCCGAGGCUGAUUAGCUACUUGGUGGGGUAAAGGCCUACCAAUGGCGAGCGAACACAUAUCCGUGUCUCGACAAGAUGAGUGAGCCACACUGGUAACCGACAAACUGUCCAGACUCCUACCGGACGCAACGCUAGGGAAUCUUGCCCAAUGGGGGCCAUCCUGAAUCAGACACACCGCCUGUGCCAUGAACGCCUUCUGGUGGUACAUCACCUUUUGCGGGGACGACGAUCACCGUUACCGC
rnacentral:rRNA from 1 species